rnacentral:tRNA from 1 species
CGGAUGUAGCAUAACUUCCCAAGGCWGUG